rnacentral:rRNA from 1 species
UACGGAGGGUGCAAGCGUUAUCCGGAUUCACUGGGUUUAAAGGGUGCGUAGGAGGGUAGGUAAGUCAGUGGUGAAAUCUUCGAGCUUAACUCGGAAACUGCCUUUGAUACUAUCUAUCUUGAAUAUUGUGGAGGUAAGCGGAAUAUGUCAUGUAGCGGUGAAAUGCUUAGAUAUGACAUAGAACACCUAUUGCGAAGGCAGCUUACUACGCAUAUAUUGACUCUGAGGCACGAAAGCGUGGGGAUCAAACAGG